rnacentral:rRNA from 1 species
AUUGAACGCUGGCGGAAUGCUUUACACAUGCAAGUCGAACGGCAGCACGGACUUCGGUCUGGUGGCGAGUGGCGAACGGGUGAGUAAUGUAUCGGAACGUGCCCAGUCGUGGGGGAUAACGUAGUGAAAAUUACGCUAAUACCGCAUACGAUCUAUGGAUGAAAGCGGGGGAUCGCAAGACCUCGCGCGAUUGGAGCGGCCGAUAUCAGAUUAGGUAGUUGGUAGGGUAAAGGCCCACCAAGCCAACGAUCUGUAGCUGGUCUGAGAGGACGACCAGCCACACUGGAACUGAGACACGGUCCAGACUCCUACGGGAGGCAGCAGUGGGGAAUUUUGGACAAUGGGCGCAAGCCUGAUCCAGCCAUUCCGCGUGCAGGAUGAAGGCCCUCGGGUUGUAAGCUGCUUUUGUACAGAACGAAAAGGUUUCUACUAAUACUAGGAGCUCAUGACGGUACUGUAAGAAUAAGCACCGGCUAACUACGUGCCAGCCGCCGCCGUAA